rnacentral:sRNA from 1 species
GCUGGGCACAGUGGCAUAUUCUUGUAUUCCCAGCUACUCUGGAGGCUGAGGCAGGAGGGUUGCUGGAGCCCAGGAAUUUGAGGCCGGUCUGGGCAACAUGGAAGACUCCAUCUCAA